GUGGAUAAAAAUGCUUUGGUACAUUGACACAAUGGAAUACUACUUGGCUGUGUAAAAGAAGGGAAUCUUAACUAUUUGUGACAGCAUGGAUGGACCUGGACCGCAUUUGAUUCAAUUAACAAAACGGGAAGAACAUUGUGACACAAGUUACUACGUGCAUGGACCUUGAGUACAUUAUGUUCAGUGCAAAAGCCAGUCAAAAGAAGACAACUACUGUGUGAUUCCACUCACAUUAUGACCCCAGGGCCAUCGGAGGCAGAGACGGAAGGCAAGAUGGAGGUACCAGUGGUGGGAGGUUGGGGUGAGAAAUGCAAUGUUGUUUAUGGGGCAGAGUUCCAGUUGGAGAAGAUGGGAAAAGAGAUGGAUAUGAUGGUGGUGUGGCCGGCACAACAGUUGAAUGUCCUUAACACCACUGCAAUGUUCACCGGAAACGAGUGGAAAUGGUAAGUUACACUGUGAUAAAACUAUGCAAAGAAAAGAAAUAAAAACAAGCCCAGGUCUUAAACAUAACCAUGGUGGUAUUGGCUCCGGCUACCUGAUUUCCUGCUCCCCAGCCGCCUCCGGAUACACAGUGAUGAGAAGAGCCUGGAGUGUGAGGUACAUUGAGAAACCCAGGCCAAGCCUUGCAUCCCUCCUGUCCAACCCACGGGCCUCUUAAGAGAGGGCUGUGAUGCUGAUUGGGGCUCACCAUUGUGUGCAGGUACAGAGCAGCGCAGCUAUGGGGAGAAUGCAUUUUACGCAGCCACUGCAGAAAGCAGCAAGGAGUUACCUCAAAAAAUUAAAAAUGGAACUUCCAUGUGUCCAUGUAACAGUGAUUCCAAUUCUGGGAAUGUAUUCCAAGAUAUCAGACACACUGAUUGGAAGGAAUAUACUCAUUGCUAUGGUCAUUACCGUGAUAUUUACAAUACUAAGAUUUGGAAGCAGCCCAUGUGCCCGUCAGAAAAUGAGUGGAUAAAAAUGCUUUGGUACAUUGACACAAUGGAAUACUACUUGGCUGUGUAAAAGAAGGGAAUCUUAACUAUUUGGGACAGCAUGGAUGGACCUGGACAGCAUUUGAUUCAAUUAACAAAACGGGAAGAACAUUGUGACACAAGCUUCUACAUGCAUGGACCUUGAAGACAUUAUGUUCAGUGCAAAAGACAGUCAAAGAAGACAACUACUGUGUGAUUCCACUCACAUUAUGACCCCCAGGGCCAUCGGAGGCAGAGACGGAAGAGAAGAUGGAGGUACCAGUGGUGGUGGGGUUGGGGUGAGGAAUCCAGUGUUGUUUACUGGGGGAGAGUUCCAGUUGCAGAAGAUGGGAAAAGUGAUGGAUAUGAUGGUGGUGUGGCCGGCACAACAGUAUGAAUGUCCUUAACACCACUGCAAUGUUCACCGGAAACGAGUGGCAAUGGUAAGUUACACUGUGAUAAAACUAUGCAAAGAAAAGAAAUAAAAACAAGCCCAGGUCUUAAACAUAACCAUGGUGGUAUUGGCUCCGGCUACCUGAUUUCCUGCUCCCCAGACGCCUCCGGAUACACAGUGAUGAGAAGAGCCUGGAGUGUGAGGUACAUUCAGAAACCCAGGCCAAGCCUUGCAUCCCUCCUGUCCACCCCACGGGCCUCUUAAGAGAGGGCUGUGAUGCUGAUUGAGGCUCACCAUUGUGUGCAGGUACAGAGCAGCGCAGCUAUGGGGAGAAUGCAUUUUACGCAGCCACUGCAGAAAGCAGCAAGGAGUUACCUCAAAAAAUUAAAAAUGGAACUUCCAUGUGUCCAUGUAACAGUGAUUCCAAUUCUGGGAAUGUAUUCCAAGAUAUCAGACACACUGAUUGGAAGGAAUAUACUCAUUGCUAUGGUCAUUACCGUGAUAUUUACAAUACUAAGAUUUGGAAGCAGCCCAUGUGCCCGUCAGAAAAUGAGUGGAUAAAAAUGCUUUGGUACAUUGACACAAUGGAAUACUACUUGGCUGUGUAAAAGAAGGGAAUCUUAACUAUU